AAGGUGGAUUGACUGGUAAAGUGAAGGUGGAUUGACUGGUAAAGUGAAGGUGGAUGGACUAUGGUAAAGUGAAGGUGAUUUGGCUAUGGUAAAGUGAAGGUGGAUUGGCUAUGGUAAAGUGAAGGUGGAUUGGCUAUAGUAAAGUGAAGGUGGAUUGGCUAUGGUAAAGUGAAGGUGAUUGACUGGUAAAGUGAAGGUGGAUGGACUAUGGUAAAGUGAAGGUGAUUUGGCUUUGGUAAAGUGAAGGUGGAUUGGCUAUGGUAAAGUGAAGGUGGAUUGGCUAUAGUAAAGUGAAGGUGGAUUGGCUAUGGUAAAGUGAAGGUGGAUGGACUAUGGUAAAGUGAAGGUGGAUUGGCUAUAGUAAAGUGAAGGUGGAUUGGCUAUGGUAAAGUGAAGGUGGAUGGACUAUGAUAAAGUGAAGGUGAAUUGACAAUGGUAAAGUGAAGGUGGAUUGGCUAUGGUGAAGGUGGAUUGGCUAUGGUAAAGUGAAGGUGGAUGGACUAUGGUAAAGUGAAGGUGGAUUGACAAUGAUAAAGUGAAGGUGGAUUGGCUAUGGUAAAGUGAAAGUGGAUUGGCUAUGGUAAAGUGA